GACGAACGCUGGCGGCGCGCUUAACACAUGCAAGUCGAACGGAAAGGCCCUGCUUUUGUGGGGUGCUCGAGUGGCGAACGGGUGAGUAACACGUGAGUAACCUGCCCUUGACUUUGGGAUAACUUCAGGAAACUGGGGCUAAUACCGGAUAGGAGCUCUUGCUGUACGGUGGGGGUUGGAAAGUUUCGGCGGUUGGGGAUGGACUCGCGGCUUAGCAGCUUGUUGGUGGGGUAGUGGCUUACCAAGGCUUUGACGGGUAGCCGGCCUGAGAGGGUGACCGGCCACAUUGGGACUGAGAUACGGCCCAGACUCCUACGGGAGGCAGCAGUGGGGAAUAUUGCACAAUGGGCGGAAGCCUGAUGCAGCAACGCCGCGUGCGGGAUGACGGCCUUCUGGUUGUAAACCGCUUUCGCCUGUGACGAAGCGUGAGUGACGGUAAUGGGUAAAGAAGCACCGGCUAACUACGUG
rnacentral:rRNA from 1 species